UACGUAGGGUGCAGGCGUUAAUCGGAAUUACUGGGCGUAAAGCGUGCGUAGGCGGCUAUGUAAGACAGAUGUGAAAUCCCUGGGCUUAACCUAGGAACUGCAUUUGUGACUGCAUUGCUGGAGUGUGGUAGAGGGAGAUGGAAUUCCGCAUGUAGCAGUGAAAUGCGUAGAUAUCCGGAGGAACACCGGUGGCGAAGGCGGCUUCCUGGACCGAUACUGACGCUGAGGCGCGAAAGCUAGGGGAGCAAACGGG
rnacentral:rRNA from 1 species